rnacentral:rRNA from 1 species
GACGAACGCUGGCGGCGUGCUUAACACAUGCAAGUCGAACGGAAAGGCCCUUCGGGGUACUCGAGUGGCGAACGGGUGAGUAACACGUGGGUGAUCUGCCCUGCACUUUGGGAUAAGCCUGGGAAACUGGGUCUAAUACCGAAUAGGACCGCGCGCUUCAGGGUGUGUGGUGGAAAGCUUUUGCGGUGUGGGAUGGGCCCGCGGCCUAUCAGCUUGUUGGUGGGGUAAUGGCCUACCAAGGCGACGACGGGUAGCCGGCCUGAGAGGGUGACCGGCCACACUGGGACUGAGAGACGGCCCAGACUCCUACGGGAGGCAGCAGUGGGGAAUAUUGCACAAUGGGCGCAAGCCUGAUGCAGCGACGCCGCGUGAGGGAUGACGGCCUUCGGGUUGUAAACCUCUUUCACCAGGGACGAAGCGCAAGUGACGGUACCUGGAGAAGAAGCACCGGCCAACUACGUG